rnacentral:tRNA from 1 species
GGGCACUUUGGCGGAGUGGUUAACGCGCUGGCCUGCUAGUCCUCUGUAUUGAGGGAAGUUAGCCAGUUCCUUCGGGAGCGUGUGUUCGAAUCACACAGGUGUCG